AUUUACAGAAAGAGAGGAUGCACACUGGAAGACUCACUUCAUCAUUGAUCCAGAAAGAGAAACAAUUCAGUCGCUUUGGCCUUCAAAGUGUAGCUUUGAGGAAAACGGGAGGCGUCUGCAGCAGAGAGGCGUCGGAUCAGAAGGAGUUCAGAGCCUCUAAAGCCACUUCGUAGCAGAACUUGUACUGUUCCUGAGGAGAAGACCAACCAAAGCGGAUCAGUCUUAAUCUGAACAGCGUCUUGACUGUGUGGAAAACAUCCACAAUGUUCUGCUGCUGGAUCAUCUCAUUGAUGCUGCAGAUGGCACAAAACGUCCCAGAACGUCCUCCUCCGGUGCUGCAGAGCAGAACAACCAGACCCAAGAUCUUUGUCAGCAACGCUUACAAACCUGUUGUACUUGAAUCCACACUGAUGUUUGUGGAUUAAUCUGCUGCUGCUGCUCAGUAAAAUUAGCAAAGGUAAUGACCGACUCCGUCUGACUGCUGCUGGGAAGAUGAACUGAUAGAAACGAGUAAUAAAGUUCUUAUUUAAACCUUGUUUUCUCUGAAAGGUUUUACAAAAUGUUAGUUUAAACGCUGGACAGAAAAAUAACUGGAAUCACUCGAUGUGCACCGACCUCUGACUUUUACCUUUAUACUACAUUUAAAAUGAAGUAGCGGGUAUCAAACUUACAGUAAUUUAACAUAUUUUUACUAAUAAGUCUGAUUGACACAUAUACCUUCAAAGAACUUAAGCUUCCUGAUGUUUUGGUCCAUGUUGUAGGACUGAGGAGGAGUUAAUCCACCAAAGCCCUUCAGUGUAAAAGAUUAAUAAAUAAUUUUUACCAUAGCAGACGCCAAAAUGCAGCGACUGCUUUUCUCAGCAGCUGCUGGUGGGAUCCUGGAUGAAAAUGGUGUUUAAAUCUCAGACAUGUUUCUCUAAUUUAGGUCGUGAUCAUUGUGGAGUUAACACAUCCAGUAAACACAGAUUUUGAUAUUUAAUGUGCAAACUGAACAUGAUCAGUGGAACGUGUUCAAUGUGACGCAACAGGCAUCAGUGGUACACACAUCUCAUGGUGGUUGAAGUGAAAUGGCAUCAAGACUCUGCAGAUGUUUAGAACCAUCACAGAUGAAUCAGAGCAUCAGAAAUGUCUGCUCCUCUUCCGGCUGGAUUGUUUCUGUGAGCUGCUUGUGAUGCGGCCUCCACUCAGAAAUCCAAUCAUUUCCAUACAUAUUUUAGGAUCAUGUCUUCAAGAAGGUCUUAAUUGGCAAAGCUAGUUUCAAACAUUAAGCUGUUAUUUACUGGGACAAACAGAAUCAUAUUUUUGUAACUCUGCUUUAUCCAACAUGCUUUGAUGACUGAAUAACAGCACAAACCUGCUGCUGUUCUCCUAAGACUCGAGUUUAUUUGCUUAAAUUGAGACAUGAAGAGCAGAGGGGGAGAGGGAAUCAAUGUUCACCUGCUGCUAAUUGAAUCAUCGUCUUUUAUUAUUAUUACUGAUGUUACAGAGGAGCAAAAUCAAUCGUUUUGUUUGAUUAGUCGGUGUUUUCCUGUAUAAAACUUAAUGUAUUUCUGAUUGAACUUUUAACUGAAAGUGAAACUCCAGCCCAGUGACCUUAACUUCUAUUUAAUCAGGGGAAUGAAAAUGAAUCAUUUCUAGAUCCGUACCUAAUUUUCUGGACAUUAUAUUGACUAAUUUAACUGACAGCAGUUUCUUGUCCCUCUACCAGUUUGAAAUGGGAGACGUUGUGGAUUCCUGUCUGGUUUCUUUUAAUCCGCCUCACUUCGCUUGCUCUGCUCAGAUGGGUUUUUUAUGGAGCUCAGCAGAGUUUGUGAAUUUGAAUGUGUGUAAUCAGUGUUAUAAAUUUCCAAAGUGGACAUUGAAGGAUUGUUUUACUGCAUGAGCUGUAGCACAACAACAGAAGCACCUCCGACCAGUAAAGAUAAAUGAUCUGUGUAAUUUGUUGCAGUGUUGGCGCAGAAGAUUAGGGUUUUUCUUUUUAAGCUGUGCAUAAGGAUGAAAUUGCUAUUAAAUGAAUCAGAACCACGUUUGUAAACUGCAUUUCUGAACUGAUAUUUAAAGGGACACUUACAUUUUUAAAAAUCUAAGUGUGGAGCAUUUGUUGGUAGAAGAGACUUUAUUAGAGCUGAGAGAAAAUUGAAUUUAAUACAUCAGAAAGUCAAAGUUGGUGUUUCCACACAAAACAACUUGUCUGAUUGUGAGUCUGUGUGUCGCAUCAGUCCGCCUGGUUUGAGCCUCUUCGCUCUGCUGGGAUAACCUGAAGGCCAUCGAGACCAGAGGAUCGGCACCGUUUCCUGUUCUAUUAGCUUCAUAUGUGGUUUUCUGAGGCUAAAGCUGCUUUUUGGGCCCAGACCACGAUGUCAGAAUCCCAGCUGCAGGAAAGGUAUUGACUACUGAUGACUACUUCAUAGAACCCCAAUCCUAAAUUAUUCCUUUAAAUCGUUGGACCACUCCAACAAACUGCGUGUUUUAGAUUGUUUCCCGUCUUGACUUGAGUCCUUCAACAGGGGAAGGGUGAGUUUUUCUGGUCUGUCCACAGAAACACGGUUUUAAAACUGAAAUUAAACUUUUUAAAAUGAUGAAAUUGCAGCUUCGCUUUGCUUCCUUCAUACAGUCUUUUCAAUGUUAUCAGGUGAUUCUGAACCAUCCAAGUGAUUAGAGCUGCAUCAUUUUCUCCAGCUGAACAGAAACUAAAGUUCUGAUCUCUGGACCGAAACAGAAACGAUCCAGAAUCAACUCACAGCUUCUCAGCUGGGAGCUAAAGAUCAGGCCCAAACAUGUACAUGUGCUUCAUGAUUUUGAUGAUGGCCUUUGACAAAAUGUAAAACUUUGUUUCCAUAUCUGGUUAAACCUGGAUAAUGAUCUACUUUUGAGACACAAUUAUCUGUGUGGUGCAGAUUAUUAGUCCUCAGCUGUUGUUCAAUUUCUGAACUUUGCCUGUUUGAAAACUAUUCAUAAAGUUGCUGAGUUAAGUCUCAGCAACUUUUUUUUUUUUUUUUUGAAAAUUGUAUUAGUAAUUGUGUAAUAAUGUUCUGUAAUCUGGUUCAGGUGUGAAAACGGUCCAGUUUAACCUGAAUAACAUCUAAAUGCCGUUGUUUUG